rnacentral:sRNA from 20 species
CAGGAAGCCGGUGCGAAUCCGGCGCGGUCCCGCCACUGUGACCGGCCCCGUGCGCGUCAGCGCGGCACGGAGCCGGGAGUCAGACACUG